UAAGAUUAAUGGCUUUUAAAGUUCUUAAUAAAUUAUAGUAGAAUACCAAAAUUUAAUGCACUGAAUGUGAAUAACGUUAUUUUUACUGAAAAAUUUGUUAAUAUAUCAAUACAUUUUUUAUACAAUAUUAGACAUUCUACUUUCCGGCUUUAAGUGUGAAAAUCUUGGCCCCAAAAGGAAGCGAUAAAAGCUAUUCAAAAUAAGGUUUCCCCUUUGUGAUUAAAGUUUCAUUUUUGGUUAAGUUUAUUUUUGAGAUUUUUAAAAAAUCCUUACGAUACAGAAUCAAAAUUUCUCGCAGUAGUUGCUUAAACUGUUCGUAUGAGAGAUCAAAUUAAAAAACUGAAGCGUAUGGUAUUCUCGUGGUGACCCAAUUCCGCGAGAAAGCCAAUUAACUGUGGAUCUUACAUGUACUGUAUUUGAAGUUCAGAACUUACAAAAACAAAAAGUACUCUAAGGACACACUCAAGUGUAUAUGUCAGUAUUUCUUAUACAUAAUAGAAUGGUAUUUAUGUACUAGGAGGAGGAUUACAAGUACUUUUUUGAAGAAAUACUGACUCCCUGGCAACAAAAAACAAUAAGCAUAAUUCUCAACUUAUUGGAAAGCAAACCACUUGGGUAAUCCAUGCAGGAGAUCCAUUAGUUUGGCUGGAAAC